CGAAAACCUGUCCCAGUUCGGACUGGAGUCUGCAACCCGACUCCACGAAGUUGGAUUCGCUAGUAAUCGCGCAUCAGCCAUGGCGCGGUGAAUACGUUCCCGGGCCUUGUACACACCGCCCGUCAAGCCAUGGGAGCCGGGGGCGCCUGAAGUCCGGGACCGCGAGGACCGGCCUAGGGCGAAACUGGUAACUGGGGCUAAGUCGUAACAAGGUAUC
rnacentral:rRNA from 1 species